rnacentral:rRNA from 1 species
UCGUGCCCUGGCGGCGUGCUAAUACAUGCAGUCGAGCGAAUCAUAUGAGGAGCUUGUCCUGUUGAUUAGCGGCGGACGGGUGAGUAACACGUGGGCAACCUGCCUGUAAGACUGGGAUAACAUCGGGAAACCGAUGCUAAUACCGGAUAAUCCUUUUCCUCACAUGAGGGAAAGCUGAAAGUCGGCGCAAGCUGACACUUACAGAUGGGCCCGCGGCGAUUAGCUAGUUGGUGAGGUAACGGCUCACCAAGGCGACGAUGCGUAGCCGACCUGAGAGGGUGAUCGGCCACACUGGGACUGAGACACGGCCCAGACUCCUACGGGAGGCAGCAGUAGGGAAUCUUCCGCAAUGGACGAAAGUCUGACGGAGCAACGCCGCGUGAGCGAUGAAGGCCUUCGGGUCGUAAAGCUCUGUUGUUAGAAAAAACAAGUACCGGAGUAACUGCCGUACCUUGACGGUACCUAACCAGAAAGCCACGGCUAACUACGUGCCAGCAGCGGUUAAAUA